GACGUAGGAGGCGAGCGUUAUCCGGAUUCACUGGGCGUAAAGCGCAUGUAGGCGGAUGUCUAAGUCGUGUGUUAAAGCCCCUGGCUCAACUGGGGGAGGUCAUGCGAGACUGGAUGACUUGAGGGCAACAGAGGCACGUGGAACUCCCGGUGUAGCGGUGGAAUGCGUAGAGAUCCGGAAGAACACCGGUGGCGAAGGCGGCCUGCUGGGCAGUUGCUGACGCUGAGGCGCGACAGCGUGGGGAGCAAACAGG
rnacentral:rRNA from 1 species